rnacentral:rRNA from 1 species
UAAUAGGUUUGCCGUCUUUUUUGCGGUAAACAUUCUUCUUAGAGAGACUGGCGGCGUCUAGCCGCACGAGAUUGAGCAAUAACAGGUCUGUGAUGCCCUUAGAUGUUCUGGGCUGCACACGCGCUACACUGAAUGGAUCAGCGUGUUUUCCCUUCCCGAGAGGGACGGGUAACCCGCUGAACCCCAUUCGUGGUAGGGAUCGGAGCUUGCAAUUAUUCUCCGUGAACCAGGAAUUCCCAGUAAGCGCAAGUCAUAAGCUUGCGUUGAUUACGUCCCUGCCCUUUGUACACACCGCCCGUCGCUACUACCGAUUGAACGUUUUAGUGAGAAAUCCUGGAUUCGACCUCUGUGGGUUCAUUCCCACAGUGCUGUCGGAGAAGUUUUUCAAACUUGAGCGUUUAGAGGAAGUAAAAGUCGUAACAAGG